UUCCAACUGACGAGUCCAAAAUAGGACGAAAUGCGCAUCCUGGAU
rnacentral:hammerhead_ribozyme from 1 species